UACGGGGGGGGGCAAGCGUUGUUCGGAAUUACUGGGCGUAAAGGGCUCGUAGGCGGCCAACUAAGUCGGAUGUGAAAUCCCCAGGCUCAACUUGGGAACUGCAUCCGAUACUGGAUGGCUUGAAUCCGGGAGAGGGAUGCGGAAUUCCAGGUGUAGCGGUGAAAUGCGUAGAUAUCGAGAGGAACACCCGUAGCGAAGGCGGCACUCUGGGCCGAUACUGACACUGAGGAGCGAAAGCCAGGGGAGCAAACGGG
rnacentral:rRNA from 1 species